rnacentral:rRNA from 1 species
AGCGAACGCUGGCGGCAGGCCUAACACAUGCAAGUCGAACGGACUCUUCCGACUUAGUGGCGGACCGGGGGGGACCAACGGGGGACUAACACGUAGGUACGGUACCACUGAGGUUAGCAUAACCUAAUACAGAUUGGGCUAUUCGGGGGUAAGAGUUCUGGCCUUUGGGGCGGGCCGGGUCAGUUUCGUCAGUUGGUGAGGGAAAGGCUGGCCAAGGCGACGAUCAGUAGCUGGUCUGAGAGGAUGAUCCGCCACAUUGGGACUGAGACACGGCCCAAUCUGCUACGGGAGGGAGCAGUGGGUAAUCUUGCGCAAUGGGCGAAGGCCUGACGCAGCCAUGCCGCGUGAAUGAUGAAGGUCUUAGGAUUGUAAAAUUCUUUCACAGGGGACGAUAAUGACGGUACCCGGUGAAGAAGCCCCGGCUAACUUCGUG